GAGUCCCGAGGGUCUCUGGAAUCCCGGGGCGCUUGGAGGGGUUUGGGCGCGGUCAGGAGCAGACCGGGCAGCAGAGGGGCUCCAGGGCCGGGAGAUGGCGCCGGGGCCGGCCCCGCUCGCUCGGGGUCCCCGCCCGCCCCUCCCGGCUCCGGUAAUCACGUGAUCCCCCCGGGAUGCUCGGUGCUCUCAGCCAAUCAGCGUGCAGGGAUCGCCUGCAUCCCGCUCGGCCAAUGGGAAUCCGCCAGACCUUACGUCAUCGCGGCCGGCCGCGCCCCGCCUCGCCAUUGGCUGCCGCCCGCGCGGGCUCCGGCCAAUCGCCGCUGGCCGCGGCCUCGCAACCACCUCGCCCCCGCGGCCUCACAACGGGUGGCGUCAUCCCCGCCCGUUGACCAAUCAGUGUCGCUCUUGCCUUUGACAGGCAGGGAUUGGGACCAAUCGCGGCCCGGAGCAGCGGGGCCGGGGCGGGCACGAGGAGGUGCGGGCGGAAGCGGAAGCGGCGGCGGCGGCGGGGGAAGAUGGCGGCGCGGCGGGGCCCGGGGCCGGUGGCGGCGCUGGCGCUGCUGGCGCUGCUCGGCCCGGGGUGGCCCCUCCGCGGGGCCCGGGCCACGCUCAACCUGCAGGAGCUCAGCGAGCUCAAGUACGGCCUCGAGAUCCUGGCCGAGCCGGUGCUGGCCGGGCAGGUGCGCCGCGGUACCGGAGCCAACGGCUGGGGGAGGGGGAGGCGGGUGGCGUCCGGGGGGCUCUACCGGGAGCGGCGGACCGGCCAUGGGGGUGCCGAGGAGCGGGGCACCGGCUGCGGGUCAGGGGGGCCGCCCGCGGAGGGGGGGACCGGGAGCACCUGUCCGGGGGCGGAGCGGGGCGGGGCUCCGGGCUGGGGUGAACCGGGGCCGGGGCAUCGUUCAGGGGGUGAAUCACGCCCGGGGCACCGGUCUGAUCCUGUACCGAGACCGGGGGAACUGCUCAGGGGCUGAGCCGAGCCCGGGAUACCGGCUAGGGCUGAACCGGGCCCGGGGCACUGCUGAAGGCUGUACCGGGCCCGUGCCCCCCGCUGAGCUCCUCACCGGGGCUCAUUCCGGGGCCGGCGGCAGCCGCUGGGCAGUGGAACACGGCCGGGGGUCUCUGCAGGGGCCGGGAGCGCCCGUUCGGGGCGGGAACGGGGCCGGGGCACUGCCGAGGUCGGAGAUGUCCCGGGCAGGGCUCGGGAUCCCGGGCUGGGGUCCCGGGUCGGGGUUUAGCGGCUCCGGGGGCUCGGGGAGGGUUCCGGACAGAGUCGGGGCCCCGGGCAAAGUCUGAGCCCAGCCGGGACAGCGGCUCCGGGAGCUCGGGGAGGUCCCGGGCCAGGGCUCAGCGGCUCCGGUGGCUCGGGAGGGGCUCAGGGGUCCCCGGAUGGGCUCGGGAGUCCCGGGCAGGGUUCCUGGGCCGGGGCUCAGCGGCUC
rnacentral:lncRNA from 1 species